rnacentral:rRNA from 1 species
UAGGGAAUCUUCCGCAAUGGACGCAAGUCUGACGGAGCAACGCCGCGUGAGUGAAGAAGGAUUUCGGUUCGUAAAACUCUGUUGUUAGAGAAGAACAGCGCAUAGAGUAACUGUUAUGCGUGUGACGGUAUCUAACCAGAAAGCCACGGCUAACUACGUGCCAGCAGCCGCGGUAAUACGUAGGUGGCAAGCGUUGUCCGGAUUUAUUGGGCGUAAAGCGAGCGCAGGCGGUCAAUUAAGUCUGAUGUGAAAGCCCCCGGCUAAACCGGGGAGGGUCAUUGGAAACUGGUUGACUUGAGUGCAGAAGAGGAGAGUGGAAUUCCAUGUGUAGCGGUGAAAUGCGUAGAUAUAUGGAGGAACACCAGUGGCGAAGGCGACUCUCUGGUCUGUAACUGACGCUGAGGCUCGAAAGCGUGGGUAGCAAACAGG